AUGUCAGCCAUGUUUGUUUAGGUAAAACAAAACAAAAAUACUGCACACAACCGAUCGCGAUACACAAUAUAAUUGAAGAAAUCGAGAUUGAUCAAACAUCAAUGUACAAUCAUGGCUUCUACUCAAGGACAGGACGCCAUGUUCUGUCAGUUGUGUACCAAUCCUGUGGAAUACCAUUGUAACCUUUGUCGUGUUGACCUUUGCUCUCCCUGUACUCUUAACCACUUGGCGGACAAAACAAACAGACACGAGAUUGUCGAGUUUAUAAACAGAAAGAAAGGACAUGUUUUACCUGAAUGCAACUCUCACAAGAAACACCGUUGCGAGUUGUUCUGCAGAGAUUGUCAAGAACCAAUGUGCAUAUUAUGUGUAACAACUACACACAAAAAGCACGAAAUUACUGACAUUGAAGAAAUUAUCCAGAAUAGCAAAAAACGAAUAAUUGAUGAUCUUACAGAGCUGGAAAAUGACAUUGUUCCAGCAUACAGAAAUGUUAAGGCAGGUGUACCUUCCGCUGAAUAUGAUAAAGUUCUUUCUGCCAUACAAAAUCAAGAAGAUGCAAUCUGCAAGAUUGUGCGUGACAUUGGCAGUCAAAUGCGGGAUGAAGUUACCAAACAAAAAGACCAAACCAAGGAGAAUAGAGAAACAGAGUCGUUGGCAGCAAGAACUGAAAAGGAACUGAAUGGAAUUAUCUUAAAUAACAGAAGCAUUCUUAACACAUCCAAUGUCACAGCCAUAAUGAGUUAUGAAUCAAAAAAUCAAAUAUUUAGGGAAUGUUAUAAUAAAUUGGGACUAUUU
rnacentral:misc_RNA from 1 species